rnacentral:rRNA from 1 species
GACGAACGCUGGCGGCGUGCUUAACACAUGCAAGUCGAGCGGUAAGGCCCUUUCGGGGGUACACGAGCGGCGAACGGGUGAGUAACACGUGGGUGACCUGCCCUCAGCUCUGGGAUAAGCCUGGGAAACCGGGUCUAAUACUGGAUAUGACUCCAUGACGCAUGUUGUGGGGUGGAAAGCCUUGUGCGGCCGAGGAUGGGCCCGCGGCCUAUCAGCUUGUUGGUGGGGUGAUGGCCUACCAAGGCGACGACGGGUAGCCGGCCUGAGAGGGCGACCGGCCACACUGGGACUGAGACACGGCCCAGACUCCUACGGGAGGCAGCAGUGGGGAAUCUUGCGCAAUGGGCGAAAGCCUGACGCAGCGACGCCGCGUGAGGAUGACGGCCU